UACGUAGGGGGCAAGCGUUGUCCGGAUUUAUUGGGCGUAAAGAGCGUGUAGGCGGCCAGGUAGGUCCGUUGUGAAAACUGGAGGCUUAACCUCCAGCUGUCGAUGGAAACCAUCUGGCUAGAGUCCGGAAGAGGAGAGUGGAAUUCCUGGUGUAGCGGUGAAAUGCGCAGAUAUCAGGAAGAACACCCGUGGCGAAGGCGGCUCUCUGGGCCACUACUGACGCUGAGAAGCGAAAGCAUGGGGAGCGAACAGG
rnacentral:rRNA from 1 species